AACUCCACCAGAGCUAUUAUCUUGAUGCACUGGUCUCCCACAUUGUCCCACACAAACCUAGUCUUUGUCCCACAUCUGGUAAGUUGGGAUCUGCUGACCCUAAGCACAACAGUGAUGCUCCAUCAGAUGUGUGUGCAGGCAGAAAGUUGAUGCACACGUUCAGUGACUCUCCAUCAGAUGUGUGUGCAGGCAGAAAGUUGAUGCACACGUUCAGUGAUGCUCCACCAGAUGUGUGUGCAGGCAGAAAGUUGAUGCACACGUUCAGUGAUGCUCCAUCAGAUGUGUGUGCAGGCAGAAAGUUGAUGCACACGUUCAGUGAUGCUCCAUCAGAUGUGUGUGCAGGCAGAAAGUUGAUGCACACAUUCAGUGAUGUU